GACGAACGCUGGCGGCGUGCUUAACACAUGCAAGUCGAACGGAAAGGCCCUGCUUUUGUGGGGUGCUCGAGUGGCGAACGGGUGAGUAACACGUGAGUAACCUGCCCUUGACUUUGGGAUAACUUCAGGAAACUGGGGCUAAUACCGGAUAGGAGCUCCUGCUGCAUGGUGGGGGUUGGAAAGUUUCGGCGGUUGGGGAUGGACUCGCGGCUUAUCAGCUUGUUGGUGGGGUAGUGGCUUACCAAGGCUUUGACGGGUAGCCGGCCUGAGAGGGUGACCGGCCACAUUGGGACUGGGAUACGGCCCAGACUCCUACGGGAGGCAGCAGUGGGGAGUAUUGCACAAUGGGCGGGAGCCUGAUGCAGCAACGCCGCGUGCGGGAUGACGGCCUUCGGGUUGUAACCCGCUUUCGCCUGUGACGAAGCGUGAGUGACGGUAAUGGGUAAAGAAGCACCGGCUAACUACGUG
rnacentral:rRNA from 1 species